rnacentral:rRNA from 1 species
CCCUUAGAUGUUCUGGGCCGCACGCGCGCUACACUGACGGAGUCAACGAGUUGUCCUGCAUCGGAAGGUGUGGGUAAUCUUUUGAAACUUCGCCGUGCUGGGGAUAGAUCUUUGCAAUUUUCGAUCUUGAACGAGGAAUUCCUAGUAAGCGUGAUUCAUCAGAUCGCGUUGAUUACGUCCCUGCCCUUUGUACACACCGCCCGUCGCUACUACCGAUUGAAUGGUUUAGUGAGGCCUCGGGACUGGCGCGCUCGAGUAGCAAUACACCUGCGCGCCGGGAACUUGGUCAAACUUGAUCAUUUAGAGGAAGUAAAAGUCGUAACA